rnacentral:rRNA from 1 species
UUCCUACGGGAGGCAGCAGUGAGGAAUAUUGGUCAAUGGGGGCAGGCCUGAACCAGCCAAGUCGCGUGAGGGAAGACUGCCCUAUGGGUUGUAAACCUCUUUUAUAAGGGAAGAAUAAUGACUACGUGUAGUCAGAUGCCCGUACGUUACCAAUCCCCAUCGGCUAACUCCGUGCCAGCAGCCGCGGUAAUACGGAGGAUGCGAGCGUUAUCCGGAUUUAUUGGGUUUAAAGGGUGCGUAGGCGGUAUUUUAAGUUAGUGGUAAAACGUCGGGGCUUCACCUUGAUUGGCCAUUAAAACUGGAGU